rnacentral:rRNA from 1 species
GUCGAACGCUGGCGGCGUGCUUAACACAUGCAAGUCGAACGGCAAGGCCCUGUUUUUCUUGGGUGCUCGAGUGGCGCACGGGUGAGUAACAUGUGAAUAACCUCCCCUUUACUUUGUAGUAACGUCAGGAAACUGGUGCUAAUACCGGCUAGGAGCUCCUGCUGCAUGGUGGGGGUUGGAAAGUUUCGGCGGUUGGGGAUGGACUCGCGGCUUAUCAGCUUGUUGGUGGGGUAGUGGCUUACCAAGGCGUUGACGGGUAGCCUGCCUGGGAGGGGGACCGGCCACAUGGGGACUGAGAGACGGCCCAGACUCCUACGGGAGGCAGCAGUGGGGAAUAUUGCACAAUGGGCGGAAGCCUGAUGCAGCAACGCCGCGUGCGGGAUGACGGCCUUCGGGUGGUAAACCGCUUUCGCCUGUGACGAAGCGGGAGUGACGGUAAUGGGUAAAGAAGCACCGGCUAACUACGUG